rnacentral:misc_RNA from 1 species
GAUGAAGAACGUAGCGAAAUGCGAUACUUGGUGUGAAUUGCAGAAUCCCGUGAACCAUCGAGUCUUUGAACGCAAGUUGCGCCCGAAGCCAUUAGGCCGAGGGCACGCCUGCCUGGGCGUCACACGUCGUUGCCCCCCCAUCUACUCCUUCGGGAUUGCGGGGGGCGGAUGAUGGCCUCCCGUGCGCCUCGUCGCGCGGUUGGCAUAAAUACCAAGUCCUCGGCGACGCACGCCACGACAAUCGGUGGUUGCGAAACCUCGGUUGCCCGUCGUGUGCGGUCGUCGCGCAUCGAGGGCUCGAAAAAAUUGCCGGGCUCCGGCUCGGCUUUCAACGCGACCCCAGGUCAGGCGGGGUUACCCGCUGAACUUAAGCAUAUCAAUAAGCGGAGGA